rnacentral:rRNA from 1 species
AGAGUUUGAUCCUGGCUCAGGAUGAACGCUAGCGGCAGGCUUAAUACAUGCAAGUCGUGGGGCAGCAUGACUGUAGCAAUACAGUUGAUGGCGACCGGCAAACGGGUGCGGAACACGUACACAACCUUCCUUUAAGUGGGGAAUAGCCCGGGGAAACCCGGAUUAAUACCCCGUAACAUAUAGAAGUGGCAUCGCUUUUAUAUUAUAGCAGCAAUGCGCUUGAAGAUGGGUGUGCGGCUGAUUAGAUAGUUGGCGGGGUAACGGCCCACCAAGUCGACGAUCAGUAACUGGUGUGAGAGCACGACCAGUCACACGGGCACUGAGACACGGGCCCGACUCCUACGGGAGGCAGCAGUAAGGAAUAUUGGUCAAUGGACGCAAGUCUGAACCAGCCAUGCCGCGCGGAGGAUGAAGGUCCUCUGGAUUGUAAACUUCUUUUAUUUGGGAAGAAAUCUAUCUUUUCUUGGAUAGUUGACGGUACCAGAUGAAUAAGCACCGGCUAACUCCGUGCCAGCAGCCGCGGUAAUACGGAGGGUGCAAGCGUUAUCCGGAUUCACUGGGUUUAAAGGGUGCGUAGGUGGGCAAGUAAGUCAGUGGUGAAAUCUCCGGGCUUAACCCGGAAACUGCCAUUGAUACUAUUUGUCUUGAAUACUGUGGAGGUCGGCGGAAUAUGUCAUGUAGCGGUGAAAUGCUUAGAUAUGACAUAGAACACCAAUUGCGAAGGCAGCUGGCUACACAGAUAUUGACACUGAGGCACGAAAGCGUGGGGAUCAAACAGGAUUAGAUACCCUGGUAGUCCACGCCCUAAACUAUGGAUACUCGACAUUUGCGAUAAACUGCAAGUGUCUGAGCGAAAGCAUUAAGUAUCCCACCUGGGAAGUACGAUCGCAAGAUUGAAACUCAAAUGAAUUGACGG